rnacentral:rRNA from 1 species
UACGUAGGGGCCGAGCGUUGUCCGGAGUUACUGGGCGUAAAGCGUGCGCAGGCGGCGCGUUCUGCCCGGCGUGAAAGCCCCCGGCUCAACCGGGGAGGGUCGUCGGGACGGGCGCGCUUGAGGGUAUCAGGGGCUGGUGGAAUUCCCGGUGUAGUGGUGAAAUGCGUAGAGAUCGGGAGGAACACCUGUGGCGAAGGCGGCCAGCUGGGAUACACCUGACGCUGAGGCACGAAGGCGUGGGGAGCGAACGGGAUUAGAUACCCGCGUAGUCCCUGAGCGGGCU